AGAGUUUGAUCCUGGCUCAGAUUGAACGCUAGCGGCAUGCUUAACACAUGCAAGUCGAACGGUAACAGACCUAGCUUGCUAGGUGCUGACGAGUGGCGGACGGGUGAGUAACGCGUAGGAAUCUACCUUGUAGAGAGGAAUAACCUGGGGAAACCCAGGCUAAUACCACAUAAGCCCUAAGGGGGAAAGCAGGGGACUGU
rnacentral:rRNA from 1 species